rnacentral:rRNA from 1 species
UAGGGAAUCUUCCGCAAUGGGCGAAAGCCUGACGGAGCAACGCCGCGUGAGUGAAGAAGGUCUUCGGAUCGUAAUACUCUGUUAUUAGGGAAGAACAAAUGUGUAAGUAACUAUGCACGUCUUGACGGUACCUAAUCAGAAAGCCACGGCUAACUACUUGCCAGCAGCCGCGGUAAUACGUAGGUGGCAAGCGUUAUCCGGAAUUAUUGGGCGUAAAGCGCGCGUAGGCGGUUUUUUAAGUCUGAUGUGAAAGCCCACGGCUCAACCGUGGAGGGUCAUUGGAAACUGGAAAACUUGAGUGCAGAAGAGGAAAGUGGAAUUCCAUGUGUAGCGGUGAAAUGCGCAGAGAUAUGGAGGAACACCAGUGGCGAAGGCGACUUUCUGGUCUGUAACUGACGCUGAUGUGCGAAAGCGUGGGGAUCAAACA